rnacentral:rRNA from 1 species
GAGGAAUAUUGGGCAAUGGCCGAAAGGCUGACCCAGCAACGCCGCGUGGAGGAUGAAUGUCGUAAGAUUGUAAACUCCUUUUUUUAGGGACGAAAAAACUAAAUUCGUAAGGGUUUAGUCUUGACUGUACCUAGAGAAUAAGCCCCGGCUAACUACGUGCCAGCAGCCGCGGUAAUACGUAGGGGGCAAGCGUUGUCCGGAUUUACUGGGUGUAAAGGGCGCGUAGGCGGAUUUGUAAGUCAGAGGUGAAAUCCUACAGCUUAACUGUAGAACUGCCUUUGAUACUGUAAAUCUUGAGUGCGAAAGAGAGAGACGGAAUUCCAGGUGUAGUGGUGAAAUACGUAGAUAUCUGGAAGAACACCGGUGGCGAAGGCGGUCUCUUAGUUCGCUACUGACGCUGAGGCGCGAAAGCAUGGGUAGCAAAC